UUUCAUGCUCAAGAAUAUUUUGUUUGUAUAUUUUUACAUACCAUUUGGGUGGUCAACCCAAAUAGUAUAUAAAAAUAUACAAACAAAAUAUUCCUGAGCAUGAAAAUUCCGCUUGAGCUGCCCAAGCUGGACUACCAAAAACGCAAGCUUCGCAUCUUAUUAAUAUUUGCUCCCAGGGCGACUUUCCGACUUCCGGGGCAUUGUAAGAAAACUUGCAUCAAGUGUCUGUUGCGGGAACUUCACGGACCGGACGUGGAACGGGUUCAACGCCCUCGAACCGGACGUGAACUUCACAACGCCCUCGAACCGGAAGGUAGAAAUCAUGACCUUCAGCAGUAAUUACCACAUCGAGGUGAAUCCAUCGGAUGUCGGGAUAUAUGACAGGGUGGACGUGAUGGAUUUGAUCAAGCAAAUUGCUUAGACGGGUUAUUCCCGCGGUCCAUCUGAGAAGGAUAUUCUUAAAAUUUUGAAUCACAUCGGGAAGAAAAGAAUUACCGCUAAGUCUGACCAAUUUGCGACGCGCUAUCCUCAUGCUGGAAGCUUGCGAGGUACAACAGUAUCCCUUCACGGUGAACCAAGAGGUGUCGGAAAUCGCAUGAAUACUUGUCAUUACUCCGAGAAACCGUCAACCAAAUUGUCCUCGAGCAAAGUCCACAGAAGCUGGAAGCGGUUAUACUUAACUCUAAACAAAGAAACCACGCCGUGUCGGUUUCCAUUCGCUAUGAAACCGCUACAAGGCGAAAAUUGCAAGUCUGGGAAUGCCAGGGCCAACAAUUCGAAUGUAGCGAUGAUUCGAUUGAUGGGAUAUUUUUCCUUCACAACUUUGUCCACCUUGUAGAUGUAAACCACAUCCUGCCGAUUUCCUGAAAAUAUGUUCACAAAACAAGGCUUCUCCAAAUGAUAGACAGUCACAUCCGUAUCGUUGCUUUGUGAUAUUUAGAAUCUGAUGAGUAACCUCCUGUGGCCGCUUACCGCUCUAAAAAUCAAUGAGAAAAAUUGUAAAUCGAAAUCUGUAUUAUUUUACAUGGUUUUACCUUUAAUUCAAAUGUAGACGAAUGCGCAAUAAAUAAU